rnacentral:rRNA from 1 species
AACGCGAAGAACCUUACCAAGGCUUGACAUAUACAUGAAUACGGCAGAGAUGUCGUAGCCGCAAGGUCUGUAUACAGGUGGUGCAUGGUUGUCGUCAGCUCGUGUCGUGAGAUGUUGGGUUAAGUCCCGCAACGAGCGCAACCCUCGUCCUGUGUUACCAGUAUUUAGUUGGGGACUCACAGGAGACUGCCGGGGUCAACUCGGAGGAAGGUGGGGAUGACGUCAAAUCAUCAUGCCCCUUAUGUCUUGGGCUGCACGCAUGCUACAAUGGCUGGUACAAAGAGCUGCAAUACCGCAAGGUGGAGCGAAUCUCAAAAAGCCAGUCUCAGUUCGGAUUGGGGUCUGCAACUCGACCCCAUGAAGUCGGAGUUGCUAGUAAUCGUAGAUCAGCAACGCUACGGUGAAUACGUUCCCGGGUCUUGUACACACCG